UAAAAGUUGCUGUGGAUCUUCACGUAGAUAGGUAACCAUACCAAAGUCUGACAUGAAAAUAACCGUUCCUGAUCCCAUUUCGAAGCCUCCAGAGCAAUUUGUUCGCAAAGAAAGAGCAUAUAUAUGGUACCUAUCUGCAGCUUUGAAAAAUUGAUUUCCAAUUUGCGUUUGAAUUUAAUUACAAAUACAAAUACUUACAAGUUGAUCAAAAAUUAAUUGUGGUAACUACUUAAAGUGGUCCAAAGAGUCCCCACUCCCCAAUAAGCAUCAACUCGAGUGCUACAGGCUGAAAUUCAUUUACAGUUGAUAUAGUUAAUUCUCGAAUGACUAUUGAAGAGAAUAUUAUUAGAAAUAUUACUGAGGGGAGAAGGCUAAAUAUUACUACGUAAGUAGUUAAUAUUUCCCUAUACCUGGCUAGUCUAUGGGUGUCGGAGAGCUCAGAAAUCAUGCAGAAAUACUAUAUGCAUUUAUGAUCCGAUGUAAUAAUAAUAACACCAAAACGAUACAACGUGUCUAAUUGAUUUAUUAUUAUAAUUCGAUCAUGUCAGGUGAAUCAAGAUAUAAAAGAAUUUACAUAAUUUUACAUCAUUAAUAUGGACACCAGUCCAUAUUAUGCGUCUCGCGCUAAUGAAUUAAGAUAUAAUACGCUAAAGUAUUAUUGUAAUCGAAGGUGAUGAAUUAUGCAGGGAUGACAAUAAACCCUAAUUUUGCAUACUUACGAAGAAAGAGAUUACUUCUCAAUACUCGUAAGUAUGGGAAAAAUUACCUUAUUAAAUAAAUGAUGAGGUUACUCACCAAGGUCCACAUAAUGUCCGCUUCUACUGUCUCUUUCAAGGUGGCUCACUCAUACUAGGCCAGGCGACAGCAAUGUAUUACACGAGGUACCUAUUCUACUAGCAGUAGGAGUGAUGCCCGGGAAGAUCUACUCCAUACCCAAUAAUAUCGCGAUCGGAUAGUUAACUUAUUCGAAUCACGACGUAAUUUCAUUUUAACCACUAUAUGUAGUGGGCAAUGCCUGGAUAAAUAGGGGAUAGGUACCCUUACUGGAUACCUUACCUGCCUGUCACAUCUACUAAGUUUCAUAUCUGAGGAAAUGCGCGUUACGACGAAGCACCGGCGAGCUCGAGAUACCUAUGCUAAGUAAUUUUGGUGCGAUCGCGAUGCAUUAUAUACGCAUCGCGAUCGAUGCGUUGCUCGAUGCGUUGCCUACGUCACGACCUUUGCGGAGUUAACACGUUCCCACCACUUACGUUCACGCUACCUAGUUAUGCUUCGAAUAACUACCUACGUAGUUGUGCUUCUAAUAACUACUUACGUAGUUGGGCCAUAUCUCACCAUAUCAUAUGCCCCCCGUGGGGUUAACUCAAUUGAGUAACAAUCGAGGAAAGUCACGGUUAUGACUUAAAAAAGCUAUGGGAGAUAGGCCUCAACUUCCCCCCUCUUCCCCUCCUAUCCAGAAGCUAGACUGAUGAGGCUAUAGCUCACCCCUGCCCCCCGUUACUUGCUGCGAUUGCAGACUAUUUUGAGUUGACAAGAGAGGUCGAAAGAUGGGUGGGGGCAGGCAUUGUGGGAACAAGGGUCACCAUAUGAUUCCUGCACCCCUCGAUUACUUGAUGUCAGUGAGCAAAUUCGAAAAUUUAGAACACAAACGAGCAAUCGAUCCAGGGGAUACAUUGGAAAGGUCAGUGACCCUAAACAUAUCCACUAGAGAGAGUAGUAGAGGUGGUGUGUUAACGUGUUGUUGUGGGGUGUAUUUAGAAUUUAAAGUUCAAAAAAUUUUGUUGAAGACACCUAAAGUGUAGAAUACUGUGACAGAAUCUAACUAUUUGUAUUGUUUUUUACAACUUCAAAAUGGGGUCAGUCAAAAGAGGAGCUUACUUAGCACGGUAUCUCCUAUUUUAAGUACAUGAGUACAGCAGGUAGGUGCAUCGGUAAGUACAUAUGAAACUGAUGUGUAGGUCAUUUUUUGAAAAUUGUAAUGAAUUUUUUGUAUGUUUUUUCUUUUUGUUGCAGGUUUUUUGGUUUUUCAGAAAUCCGGGAUCUUUUAUUGUUAGACUAUGCGUUUCAAUUUUAGUAUAAUUUUUUAUAUGAAGCUUCCUGCAACCUUAUUAAUUCAUGUUUCUUUUAUGUGUGUUUCAGAUUCGAAGAAUUCCAGAAAUUGUUGAAAAUGGUGAAAAUAGAAAAAGAAAAUGAUACCAAGGGUCAGUGCUCAUCGAUAUCAUAAAAGGUAAGAGAAUGGAAAAUUUUUCAUUAUCCCUACUUUGAUGCCAAAAUUGUAGCUGUCUGUAUUUUAUACUAUUUUCUCCUAAUUGUAUUUUGGUUUAUAAACAGCAGACUGACCAAAGGUUGUUGACCUAUUCACAAAGUGGCCUGCACGAAGGAGACGAAAUCAACGGACAGUUGGACCAGUGUGCCUCCUCACCAUUAUUGAAAGGUAAUUGGAUAGUUUCGUACUGAGAUAAUUAAUAUUACUAAAUACAACUAAAUAAAUAAUUAGGUACUUUAGAGUAGAAUUAGUAUGGAGAGAGGAAAAGAAAAGAAAGAUAGAGAUAAAAAUAAUAUGUAAGAUUUAGAUUGAUUUGAAGGAGAGAGGUUGUUAACGGUUCUCAAAAAAAGAAAAAAAAUAUUGAGGUAAAUAGUUCAAUUAUUGAGAAAGAGAGAAAGAAAGAUAGAGAAAGAAUAAUAAUCAUUCGAAAAAGAGAAAAGAAGUGAAAAUAAAGAAGGGUCAAGAGACAUUAUAUGAGAGAAAGAUGAAGAAAGCGAGAAGUAUUUAUGCUAGGUUUACAUUGUUGCCUAUCUUAUAUUUAUAAGGUACAAUUGACACGUCAGUUUUUCAUAUAGAGUAGUUUUUCAGCUUAUAGUUUAAUAUUAGUAUUUAUAUUUUAAAAUAGAUAGAAAUAUGUUGAUCGUCCGCAUAUAAUUGAUUCAAAUGCUUUAUUGCUUUUAUGUUUCACGCUGGAGGAAAUACAUGGUUCAUUGUGUCAAUUUUCAUCGGAGGAGGUAGAUGGAUCAUUGUGCUACGUCUCACUGGAGUCAGUUCAAUCGCAUGUAGCAUUGCAGUCAAUUGGUCAAAAUGUCAUGGCGCUAUGGGAGUGAAAACAUAAGGUGGUUCGUACGGCCUUACGUUUGCUGCCGCAGCCGGAGGCAUCCCCAGCGAGAUUAGGAACGAGAUUAUGUGCUGGCGCUCCUGCCAGGUAGCAUAUAAAACGCCGUCGUUGACGGUAUGAAUACGGUAAUACCUUAUGCGUAAGACGUGCUCAUCUCGUGCAAGACGCUGUACCGCGAUGCCUGCCAACGUCAGGAGUGGAGGAGUGUCGUUAUUCAAACCGGCGGCUACCAUUUCCGGGUCCUCAAGUAAAGGUUCUUGAUGUUGGAUUACCUGGACGUUGUUGUGCGCCAGGUUAAGGAGCAAAUCCGCGGCUUGGUGCACAUCCAUGAUCAUCCCGUUUUCUCCAAUGUCGCCUUCCAUAUUUUGUGCUAAGUUGUUCUGGUCAUUCGGUAGGAAAUUCGGUGGUAAAGGAUCGAGUGGCGGCAUUCUGGUUGUGUGUGGUGUAAUCGAGUACUUGCAGGCAAAUUUUUCGUAUCACGUUAACUGCACUUGUCGCGAAUGUUUAUUACAAAGAAAAUGAUCCGCACUCUAUAUCGCGAAUGUAUAUGUUAACGAAAAAAUCCGCAGUCUAUAUUGCGAAUUUGACUAAUGUCGGUUCUAGUACCGGUGUUAUGAACUCGAAUUGAAAAUAAGAAAAAAUUAACGCGAAAAAAAUGGCGAAUUAUAAGCGAGGCUUUCUAACACGAAUUGGCUUAUACCAAUGUACGACUAUUACUGAGCUGAGAAUAUGAGAAGUCGACAACCAAAUCACGACAAAGUCGAGACAAGAAGUCGCUUGAUAAAAAAGAAAAAAAAUAAAAUAUCAAAAGAUAGGUCCUUAUCGCGAAUUUCCUAGAAUCGUAUCCGUUCGGCUGGAGACGAUCAAACGGGGGUGACGUAAUUUUGGUACAAUAAUAUUUUAUUGCUUUGUUCGAUGUUUUAACGAUCGCCAAAUUACUGCCUAGUUAACAAUGUGUAAUUUUUUGAAUGUGCAGGUGUUCGAUUUUUGGGGAAGAAAAAUGCUUGUCGAAGAUUUAUGGUCAUCCAUCAAACAGUGGUCAAGUUUUCAGUGGUGAUAUUGGCGACAUAGAUUGCAACAUUUUCGACGUGGGAUCAACCGGUUUUUUCGGUGUUUAGAAAUGAUCGAGACGACAAGAAAAGGUUCAACUGGUAUUGGAUGUAUUAGUCGAUCUAUAUCGUGAUCAAGCCUGAGGAGGAUUUUUGGCAUUCCUCAUCCUAGAAUUUGGAAUUUUUCGGGAUUGGAUCGAGAUGACAGGUGUGAACGUGUUCGUGAUUUUUAAACCGUAUUAACGACUGAAAGGUACGAUGUUGAAAGUUGACUCGCGAAAAGGAAUGACCUAAAUCGAUCGAGCUUUCAAGAUUUAUUUGAGGCUACGGGAGCUUCCCAUUAUCCUAGCAUUUUUGGGAAAGUGAAAUGGAAUUGACGACUAGGAAUGUGUUUUGUAAUCAUCAUCGGGGGAAAUUCUUGAAUAACAAACAAGUUUUCAGAAUUUGAAAUUUUGAACGAUAUGAAGAUGGAUCUAGAUCCUAAUUUGCAAUUUCAUUCAUCGUGUGAAAAAGAAUAAAAAGCUUCAGCGGUGUGUUCUCUCGUCCCUGGAUACUACUUCUCAUAUAGGUAAGAAGUAUUCAAAUGAUUUUUAAGUAAAUUUUUUGUGUACUAAAAUUCUUUGGUACUUCUUAGAUUUUUUGAAAAAAAUAUAUGAUCGUUUUGAGUGCACAAAAGGAGCAACGUGGGACCGAAGAAUUUAGCAACCGGAUACAUGCUUCAAUAUUGGGUGAGAGUUGAUUGAUUUAUUUAUUUAGACGCUGUUAAUUUGGAUUAUGAUCGAGAAGAAUUUUUUGAAGAAAUGUGGACACGGAUAAUGUGUAUUCGAAUCGAAGAAAACGAAGAUUUCAAAUUUCACGACGUGAUACAGCUUGG